GCCCCUGUAGCUCAGGUGGAUAGAGCACUGGCCUCCGAAGCCAGUUGCGGGCGUUCGAGUCGCCCCAGGGGUA
rnacentral:tRNA from 1 species